ACGAACGCUGGCGGCGUGCUUAACACAUGCAAGUCGAACGGUGAAGCGCCUUCCUUUUUGGUGGGUGUGGAUGAGUGGCGAACGGGUGAGUAACACGUGAGUAACCUGCCCCCUUCUUCUGGAUAACCGCAUGAAAGUGUGGCUAAUACGGGAUAUUCUGGGUCUGUCGCAUGAUGGGUCUGGGAAAGAUAUUGUUUCGGUGGGGGAUGGGCUCGCGGCCUAUCAGCUUGUUGGUGGGGUGAUGGCCUACCCAGGCGGUGGCGGGUAGCCGGCCUGGGAGGGUGGACGGUCACACUGGGACUGAGACACGGCCCAGACUCCUACGGGAGGCAGCAGUGGGGAAUAUUGCACAAUGGGCGCAAGCCUGAUGCAGCGACGCCGCGUGAGGGAUGGAGGCCUUCGGGUUGUGAACCUCUUUCGCCAGUGAAGCAGGCCUGCCUCGUUUGUGGGUGGGUUGACGGUAGCUGGAGAAGAAGCGCCGGCUAACUACGUG
rnacentral:rRNA from 1 species